rnacentral:miRNA from 12 species
UGUGUAUGUAUAUAUAUAUAUGUGUGUGUGUGUGUGUGUAUCUAUAUAUAUACACAUGUAUAUACACACU